GAUGAACGCUGGCGGCGUGCCUAAUACAUGCAAGUCGAGCGAACGGACGAGAAGCUUGCUUCUCUGAUGUUAGCGGCGGACGGGUGAGUAACACGUGGAUAACCUACCUAUAAGACUGGGAUAACUUCGGGAAACCGGAGCUAAUACCGGAUAAUAUUUUGAACCGCAUGGUUCAAAAGUGAAAGACGGUCUUGCUGUCACUUAUAGAUGGAUCCGCGCUGCAUUAGCUAGUUGGUAAGGUAACGGUUUACCAAGGCAACGAUGCAUAGCCGACCUGAGAGGGUGAUCGGCCACACUGGAACUGAGACACGGUCCAGACUCCUACGGGAGGCAGCAGUAGGGAAUCUUCCGCAAAGGGCGAAAGCCUGACGGAGCAACGCCGCGUGAGUGAUGAAGGUCUUCGGAUCGUAAAACUCUGUUAUUAGGGAAGAACAUAUGUGUAAGUAACUGUGCACAUCUUGACGGUACCUAAUCAGAAAGCCACGGCUAACUACGUG
rnacentral:rRNA from 1 species